GGACCUGUGGCGCAAUGGUAGCGCAUCUGACUCCAGGUCAGAAGGUUAUGUGUUCGAUUCACGUUAGGUCUA